rnacentral:rRNA from 1 species
UACGAAGGGGGCUAGCGUUGCUCGGAAUCACUGGGCGUAAAGCGCACGUAGGCGGAUCUUUAAGUCAGGGGUGAAAUCCUGGAGCUCAACUCCAGAACUGCCUUUGAUACUGGGGAUCUCGAGUCCGGAAGAGGUGAGUGGAACUCCGAGUGUAGAGGUGAAAUUCGUAGAUAUCGGGAGGAACACCAGUGGCGAAGGCGGCGAUCUGGGAAGAUACGUGACGCUGAGGUGCGAAAGCGUGGGGAGCAAACAGG